rnacentral:rRNA from 1 species
AUUGAACGCUGGCGGCAUGCUUUACACAUGCAAGUCGAACGGUAACAGGCCGCAAGGUGCUGACGAGUGGCGAACGGGUGAGUAAUGCAUCGGAACGUGCCCAGGCGUGGGGGAUAACGCAGCGAAAGCUGCGCUAAUACCGCAUACGGACGAUCGAUGAAAGCGGGGGACCGUACGGCCUCGCGCGAUUGGAGCGGCCGAUGUCAGAACAGGUAGUUGGUGAGGUAAAGGCUCACCAAGACGACGAUCUGUAGUUGGUCUGAGAGGACGACCAGCCACACUGGGACUGAGACACGGCCCAGACUCCAACGGGAGGCAGCAGUGGGGAAUUUUGGACAAUGGGCGCAAGCCUGAUCCAGCAAUGCCGCGUGCAGGAAGAAGGCCUUCGGGUUGUAAACUGCUUUUGUCAGGGAAGAAAUCCUCUAGGUUAAUACCCUUGGGGGGAUGACGGUACCUGAAGAAUAAGCACCGGCUAACUACGUGCCAGCCGCCGCGGUAAGAC